GGACAAGCGAAUAAGUGCACAUGGUGGAUGCCUUGGCGAUUACAGGCGAUGAAGGACGUAGUAGCUUGCGAUAAGCUGCGGGGAGUGAGCAAACACACAUUGAUCCGCAGAUUUCCGAAUGGGGAAACCCGGCCCUUUGGGUCAUUGCAUGCUGAAUACAUAGGCAUGCAAAGCGAACGCGGCGAACUGAAACAUCUAAGUAGCUGCAGGAAAAGAAAUCAACCGAGAUUCCCAAAGUAGUGGCGAGCGAAAUGGGAUGAGCCUGUACGUGAUAGUCGGACUGAU
rfam:Corchorus olitorius cultivar O-4 contig08952, whole genome shotgun sequence.